AGCUUUGUGCAGUGGCAGUAUUGUAGCCAACGAGGUUUAUCCAAGGCGAGAUCAUUACUAAUUGGAAAUAUAUAUAUAGAAAGCUCCAUAAAGACCCUGACGACCAGAAAGACAUUUCUGGUAUUUUCUAUUCUUGCUGUUUCAAAAGUAA
ensembl:snRNA U4 U4 spliceosomal RNA